rnacentral:rRNA from 1 species
UACGUAGGGCGCAAGCGUUGUCCGGAAUUAUUGGGCGUAAAGAGCUCGUAGGCGGCCUGUCGCGUCUGCUGUGAAAUCCCGGGGCUUAACCCCGGGCGUGCAGUGGAUACGGGCUGGCUGGAGGCAGGCAGGGGGAGAACGGAAUUCCCGGUGUAGCGGUGAAAUGCGCAGAUAUCGGGAGGAACACCGGUGGCGAAGGCGGUUCUCUGGGCCUGUACUGACGCUGAGGAGCGAAAGCGUGGGGAGCGAACAGG